AAGAUUUAUGGACGGUUUUUCGUCGACUUAUCUUUGAUUUAUUUUAAGGAAAAGACUCUGAUGGAUAAAAGAUGGAUAUUUUUUCCUGUAGAAGCUAAAACAAUGUAACUUUGAGGUUCUGAUACCAGCUUUUACAACGUUAUUUACAGAGUUCACAAGACUUCUCUGUGUUAUUCCCUGAACAUGCCGAAAAGCUAUUUGAAACUUGGGCACUGCAUUUUACAGACAGAAUCCUGCAACUUCCCAGCCAAGAACCAGGAGCAUCAACAAAUCACCUCCAGAACCCCAUGAUGAUAUUCCAACUCCUGUCUACAAAAGUGGGAAGAAAAUCUUAAGUCUAUGUUGGGACCAACAUGGUUGCAUUCUUCUGAGAGGCUGAGGUGACAAAACCAUUCCCUUUUGUCCUUGGAUUGGAAGAUGACGAUCUCUGCCAUAAAGCCUUCGUUGUUUUUGACAGACAGUCACUCCAGCAAUACACCCUCCUUGGUGAUGUUGACAUGUUUUAAACUUUUUUUAUGUUUUGGACAUUCAUUUUACUAAGCAGUGCACAUCAGUGUGGGUGUUUUUGAAGACUGUUGUUUACAAACUCCCAAGAACAGAAUCCCUUUCUAUAAGAAGUCUGUGUAGUUAUUUGUCAUGCUAAGGCGAUAACUCAUGUUGAUCAUAUAUUGACUGUUUGUGCAACUUUGUGUUGAUCUUAUGUGUUACAUUAACCAUUUCUUAUUACACGGUUCUCUAAAAUGCUAGUUUCUGAUUGGCCAGUCGUGACAUUCUACUACUGCUCAAAACUAAAAACUCCAAUGCUGCAAAUCAUUUUGACAGGUACAGUUUUAUAUUACACAAAAAUUAAAUAUCAAUGUCUAUUAAUUACAUAUCCGACAUUAAAUUUACAAAUGAUUAAACCAAUGUGUUCGUGACAUUUGUCCUGAAGAAACUGUUGGGGCUUUUUUCUGUGAUGACAUGCUGCCAAUACAUUAUCCCUUACUUGUACAACUUUUUACUUGAUCUAAUUGUAAUGUUAACUGUGUAUCUGUCAUUUUAGAUUGUGAGAUAUAAUACUAAUAUAUUUUUUUAUCAGAAAGUUGAUUGUUUGUGUAGGCCUAUGUACUCUUUUAUUGUUCAUGUGCAAUAAAUAUGCUUUUUCAAUUAAAUCUAUGCUUUGUUAUUUAUAGACACCACAAUGAAAGGUAUGAAAGCAAUUUAAACCACAAAAUUUCAGCUUUAAACACAUUAACCAAACGUUGGGUUGUUUCAACCCAA